rnacentral:rRNA from 1 species
UACGAAGGGGGCUAGCGUUGUUCGGAAUUACUGGGCGUAAAGCGCACGUAGGCGGAUUGUUAAGUGAGGGGUGAAAUCCCAGGGCUCAACCCUGGAACUGCCUCUCAUACUGGCAAUCUCGAGUUCGAGAGAGGUGAGUGGAAUUGCGAGUGUAGAGGUGAAAUUCGUAGAUAUUCGCAGGAACACCAGUGGCGAAGGCGGCUCACUGGCUCGAUACUGACGCUGAGGUGCGAAAGCGUGGGGGAGCAAACAGG